rnacentral:rRNA from 1 species
CUACGGGCUGCAGCAGUGGGGAAUAUUGGACAAUGGGGGAAACCCUGAUCCAGCAAUGCCGCGUGUGUGAAGAAGGCCUGCGGGUUGUAAAGCACUUUCGGUUGGGAGGACUGCUUCUAGCACUAAUAUUGUUGGAAGUUGACGUUACCUCCAGAAGAAGCACCGGCUAACUCCGUGCCAGCAGCCGCGGUAAUACGGAGGUGCAAGCGUUAAUCGGAAUUACUGGGCGUAAAGCGCGCGUAGGCGGCUAGAUCAGUCGGGUGUGAAAGCCCCGGGCUUAACCUGGGAACUGCAUCCGAUACUGUCUAGCUUGAGUACAGGAGAGGAGAGUGGAAUUCCACAUGUAGCGGUGAAAUGCGUAGAUAUGUGGAGGAACACCAAUGGCGAAGGCAGCUCUCUGGCCUGAUACUGACGCUGAGGUGCGAAAGCGUGGGGAGCAAACAGGAUUAGAUACCCCCGUAGUC